rnacentral:misc_RNA from 1 species
UCUUCCUCUUCAGUCCAUCUUUUUGUUGGUAUAUGUGGAGGUCAUGACCCCUAGAUCAUCCUGCAUGAUGAUUUGCAUCGCUGCAAAAUCAAACUGCUAACUUUGUGAUAUUUAUUAACCGUGUACAUAACCUCGCAUGUUUGAAAAAUAAUUGAAUCAUGAAUUGAUUCCAUUGUUCCAUUUUUCACUUUACAUUAAAGCAGUAGUUACAGAU